UUCGGCAGAGCUUGACAGUAAAGCAUCUCCUUUACACUGAGACCAUAUUUGUGCAAUUCAAAUUGCCGAGA
rnacentral:tRNA from 1 species